UACGGAGGGUGCAAGCGUUAUCCGGAUUCACUGGGUUUAAAGGGUGCGUAGGAGGGCAGGUAAGUCAGUGGUGAAAUCUCCAAGCUUAACUUGGGAACUGCGGUUGAUACUAUCUGUCUUGAAUACCGUGGAGGUGAGCGGAAUAUGUCAUGUAGCGGUGAAAUGCUUAGAUAUGACAUAGAACACCAAUUGCGAAGGCAGCUCGCUACACGAAUAUUGACUCUGAGGCACGAAAGCGUGGGGAUCAAACAGG
rnacentral:rRNA from 1 species